AAGGCCAAUUGAAAUUUUUGCCACAGGGAACUGCGGCUACGCCAGUAACAAUAGUACUAGAGGGCCUCGAUACAGCAGGCUGCACUGCACCCCCUACCUACAGAUCAACGAAGGGCUUACCGAAAACCUACUAUCAUCGACGGGUAGCCUUCCACCCAUUACGACAAAUUUUGUUGCUAGUGGUGAUUUGGUUUCAAAAUCGGUGCAUGAAAUGGAAACGAAAUAAAGUACCGUGAAAGGCCAAUUGAAAUUUUUGCCACAGGGAACUGCGGCUACGCCAGUAACAAUAGUACUCGUGUACAAGGGCCUCGAUACAGCAGGCUGCACUGCAUCCCCUACCUACAGAUCAACGAAGGGCUUACCGAAAACCUACUAUCAUCGACGGGUAGCCUUCCAACCAUUACGACAAAUUUUGUUGCUAGUGGUGAUUUGGUUUCAAAAUCGGUGCAUGAAAUGGAAACGAAAUAAAGUACCGUGAAAGGCCAAUUGAAAUUUUUGCCACAGGGAACUGCGGCUACGCCAGUAACAAUAGUACUAGAGGGCCUCGAUACAGCAGGCUGCACUGCACCCCCUACCUACAGAUCAACGAAGGGCUUACCGAAAACCUACUAUCAUCGACGGGUAGCCUUCCACCCAUUACGACAAAUUUUGUUGCUAGUUGCAAACUAAGGCUGCGUCACCACGCUACGCUUAAGCAGUCUCGGACCUCACAACCAAAAACUACUUACCUCGGUCUCUAAUCAAUUU